rnacentral:RNase_P_RNA from 1 species
GAGAGGUAGUGGGCGGCUAACCGAAGGUUAGCCAUAAAGGCUUACCGGGAGGAGGAAAGUCCCCCCACCACUAAUGGCGGAGUCCCGUAAGGGGCUAUGCCGAGAGGCAUGGUGUGGCACAGAAAGCAACCUGCUCAGAGCUAUGCGAUGACUCCGAGAGGAUGAGGUCAUCUGGGCAGGAUGAAAUCGCCAGCCCCGUCGGUGCAACGCUUAGCGGCUUAGAUUAAUGCCGCCCGAACAGAAGGGGGCUUACUACUACCUCUC